GAAGUCCAAGACAGCGGUUUUACUGAUCCCCUUCCUGACUUCGCCAAGAAUAGAGAACUCUACCAUUUCGUGGUCGCUCUGCCCAAGACAGCUCCCGACCACCACAUCUCCCACCAAUCCUUCUCUGUUUGUGAACAGAAGGUCUAGCGGGGCACCUCCCCUAGUAGGCUCACUAACCAGCUGCAUCAGGAAGCUAUCUUCCACGCCCUCCAGAAACCUCCUAGACUGCUUUCUCUGUGCCGUGUUGUGCUUCCAGGAUAUGUCUGGGAAGUUGAAGUCCUCCACAAGAACAAGCACUGACCAUUUCGCAACUUCUGCCAGCUGCAACAGAAGCACAGCUGGAUCCCUCUGCUAAACCAGGUCCCUGCUCAUGCUGAGGAAGAAGGCAAGAACAAGCACCAGGAUGCAGCUGGGAAGAGGAGACAACUUCUGCUAAUUGAUGGUGACCUCAUGGUAGAUUAGGCCAACCUAAAUACCCCCCUUUUGCAAGCAUGCCUCCCCAAAACUGCUCACCACACCAUUUCUGAUCCAUGGGAGGAGGAGAUGGAGACAGGGAGUGAAGGGGGAGGCUGGCACAUGGAUGUCCUGUACCCUAGAGCUGUGGUGGGUUAAACUGCUGUGGAAGUGUGCCUCUGUGUAAUCUGAGGGUUGCGCUCUGAUUUGCAAACAUGCAUGAUGGCAAAUCAUUAGCAAGAUGAGGAAGAGCUUUAUUCUGAGAUUUUUGCUUUUAUUUAUUUUGUGUGUGUCCAGCUCUGGUGUUUUGGGUGGGACGUAUUGUCUUUGAUGACGUUUCCAUGUGCAAAAGUGUAAAAAUGACCAAGUUUGCUUUCAUUAUAAUUAGAAAAAUUAUUAGAGCUUAAACAAAAUCUGAAAUUCUAAAUGAAGUCAGUGUCACCAUUGCUGGUUUUUUUUCUUUUUUUUUUCCCCUCAUUAUUUUAAAUAUGUCAGACCAAGUGUUAACAAAGCAAGUUUUAGUUUGUUUAGCCGCCUCUUUCCAAACCCGUUGUUGACUGCUAACCCUAUUCCUCAAACCUUCUCUCCUUUUCUCCUAAAUCACUUAAAGUUUAAGCAGCAGAAGUGACAGACUCCACUAAGAAUCCUUCCCCAGCCAUCUUCCAGUGCAGGGGGCUUAUGUGUCUGUUGUGCAAUAUCAGGGUACCCAUGGAUUAGACAGCCCAAGUACUGUAGAUAAUGUGACUGUACUGCAGAAAACAACCUGUUUUCACUGGCCACAUAAAAUUCACUCUGUUGCAGUCUGCUAUUAACAAUUAUAAUU
ensembl:lncRNA